GAUGAACGCUAGCGGAACGCCUAACACAUGCAAGUCGAACGGAUUCUGCGUUGUAGCAAUACAUAGUAGAAUUAGUGGCAAACGAGCGAGUAACGCGUGCCUAACCUGCCCUUAAGUUGGGAAUAACUACGGAGACGUAGCUAAGUCCCAAUAUGCUCACGAUGGUGAAAUGCCGAUGCGAGGAAAGAUUUAUCGCUUAAGGAGGGGGGUGCGUCCUAUCAGGUAGUUGGUUGAGGUAACGGCUCACCAAGCCUAUGACAGGUAGCUGGUCUGAGAUGAUGUCCAGCCGCGAUGGGACUGAGAUACGGCCCAUACUCC
rnacentral:rRNA from 1 species